rnacentral:rRNA from 1 species
AGUGAACGCUGGCGGUAGGCCUAACACAUGCAAGUCGAACGGCAGCACAGUAAGCUCUUGCUCUUACGGGUGGCGAGUGGCGGACGGGUGAGGAAUACAUCGGAAUCUACUUUUUCUUGGGUGAUAACGUAGGGACACUUACGCUAAUACCGCAUACGACCUACGGGUGAAAGCAUGGGAGCUUCGGACCUUUCGCGAUUGAAUGAGCCGAUGUCGGAUUAGCCAGUUGGCUGGGUAAAGGCCCACCAAGGCGACGAUCCGUAGCUGAUCUGAGAGGAUGAUCAGCCACACUGGAACUGAGACACGGUCCAGACUCCUACGGGAGGCAGCAGUGGGGAAUAUUGGACAAUGGGCGCAAGCCUGAUCCAGCCAUACCGCGUGGGUGAAGAAGGCCUUCGGGUUGUAAAGCCCUUUUGUUGGGAAAGAAAAGCAGCAGGUUAAUACCCCGCUGUUCUGACGGUACCCAAAGAAUAAGCACCGGCUAACUUCGUG